rnacentral:rRNA from 1 species
AAACUUUCAACAACGGAUCUCUUGGUUCUGGCAUCGAUGAAGAACGCAGCGAAAUGCGAUAAGUAAUGUGAAUUGCAGAAUUCAGUGAACCAUCGAAUCUUUGAACGCACAUUGCGCCCGCCAGCACUCUGGCGGGCAUGCCUGUCCGAGCGUCAUU